rnacentral:tRNA from 1 species
GGAGAGAUGYCAGAGUGGCCGAAUGAGCACGCUUGGAAAGCGUGUGUACAGCAAUGUACCGAGGGUUCGAAUCCCUCUCUCUCCGCCA